rnacentral:pre_miRNA from 1 species
AGCACAAUUGCUGGAUUAUAUUGGAAGAGUAUAUUGCAUUUUUUUAAAAACUGCCAAACUAUCUGUCAAAGUGAUUGUAGCAUUUUAUACUCUCAUUAGCAGU